UGAGCCGCAAACCAGACAAAAGCCAAGCGAAAAUCGCGAGAGGGAAUGAAUGUACCGAGAGAUGUUCAAAGUACGCGCGAGAGAUAUUGAAGGGACGUGUGAAAAUGGCUGUUUUGAUCCAAACUGGGGCAGGAGCAUGACAGUGUCCAAGGGGACAUGAUGAGAGUCUACUGGUGUACUCAGGAAAUUGGUGAAGAUCAGGGAAGUGUAACUGGAUCCUGGAUCUGGCAGUAGACUUAUUUUUAUGUUGUGGGGACCAUUUUUUCGGUCCCCACAAGGGAAAACUCAAUUUCAUAAAAAUCUGAAACUGCAAU